GGUUUUAAUUCGAUGCAACGCGAAGAACCUUACUAGGCUUGACACUCCCUGGAAUUUGUGGAAACACAAAAGUGCCUUUCGGGGAACCAGGAGACAGGUGCUGCAUGGCUGUCGUCAGCUCGUGUCGUGAAAUGUUGGGUUAAGUCCCGCAACGAGCGCAACCCUUAUCUUUAAUUGCCAGCAUUCAGUUGGGCACUUUAAAGAGACUGCCGGUGUUAAACCGGAGGAAGGUGGGGAUGACGUCAAGUCCUCAUGGCCUUUAUGGGUAGGGCUUCACACGUCAUACAAUGGUCGGUACAGAGGGUUGCCAAGCCGCGAGGUGGAGCCAAUCCCUUAAAGCCGAUCGUAGUCCGGAUCGUAGUCUGCAACUCGACUACGUGAAGUCGGAAUCGCUAGUAAUCGCGGAUCAGCAUGCCGCGGUGAAUACGUUCCCGGGCCUU
rnacentral:rRNA from 1 species